rnacentral:rRNA from 1 species
GGGUUGUGAGGUUAAGCGACUAAGCGUACACGGUGGAUGCCCUGGCAGUCAGAGGCGAUGAAGGACGUGCUAAUCUGCGAAAAGCGUCGGUAAGGUGAUAUGAACCGUUAUAACCGGCGAUGUCCGAAUGGGGAAACCCAGUGUGAUUCGUCACACUAUCGUUAACUGAAUACAUAGGUUAACGAGGCGAACCGGGGGAACUGAAACAUCUAAGUACCCCGAGGAAAAGAAAUCAACCGAGAUUCCCCCAGUAGCGGCGAGCGAACGGGGAGCAGCCCAGAGUCUGAAUCAGCUUGUGUGUUAGUGGAACGGUCUGGAAAGUCCGACGGUACAGGGUGAUAGUCCCGUACACCAAAAUGCACAGGCUGUGAACUCGAAGAGUAGGGCGGGACACGUGGUAUCCUGUCUGAAUAUGGGGGGACCAUCCUCCAAGGCUAAAUACUCCUGACUGACCGAUAGUGAACCAGUACCGUGAGGGAAAGGCGAAAAGAACCCCGGCGAGGGGAGUGAAAAAGAACCUGAAACCGUGUACGUACAAGCAGUGGGAGCACCUUCGGGUGUGACUGCGUACCUUUUGUAUAAUGGGUCAGCGACUUAUAUUCUGUAGCAAGGUUAACCGUAUAGGGGAGCCGCAGGGAAACCGAGUCUUAACUGGGCGUUAAGUUGCAGGGUAUAGACCCGAAACCCGGUGAUCUAGCCAUGGGCAGGUUGAAGGUUGGGUAACACUAACUGGAGGACCGAACCGACUAAUGUUGAAAAAUUAGCGGAUGACUUGUGGCUGGGGGUGAAAGGCCAAUCAAACCGGGAGAUAGCUGGUUCUCCCCGAAAGCUAUUUAGGUAGCGCCUCGUGAACUCAUCUUCGGGGGUAGAGCACUGUUUCGGCUAGGGGGUCAUCCCGACUUACCAACCCGAUGCAAACUACGAAUACCGAAGAAUGUUAUCACGGGAGACACACGGCGGGUGCUAACGUCCGUCGUGAAGAGGGAAACAACCCAGACCGCCAGCUAAGGUCCCAAAGUCAUGGUUAAGUGGGAAACGAUGUGGGAAGGCACAGACAGCCAGGAUGUUGGCUUAGAAGCAGCCAUCAUUUAAAGAAAGCGUAAUAGCUCACUGGUCGAGUCGGCCUGCGCGGAAGAUGUAACGGGGCUAAACCAUGCACCGAAGCUGCGGCAGCGACACUAUGUGUUGUUGGGUAGGGGAGCGUUCUGUAAGCCUGCGAAGGUGACCUGUGAGGGUUGCUGGAGGUAUCAGAAGUGCGAAUGCUGACAUAAGUAACGAUAAAGCGGGUGAAAAGCCCGCUCGCCGGAAGACCAAGGGUUCCUGUCCAACGUUAAUCGGGGCAGGGUGAGUCGACCCCUAAGGCGAGGCCGAAAGGCGUAGUCGAUGGGAAACAGGUUAAUAUUCCUGUACUUGGUGUUACUGCGAAGGGGGGACGGAGAAGGCUAUGUUAGCCGGGCGACGGUUGUCCCGGUUUAAGCAUGUAGGCUGAUUGUCCAGGCAAAUCCGGAUAAUCAAGGCUGAGGUGUGAUGACGAGGCACUACGGUGCUGAAGUAACAAAUGCCCUGCUUCCAGGAAAAGCCUCUAAGCAUCAGGUAACAUCAAAUCGUACCCCAAACCGACACAGGUGGUCAGGUAGAGAAUACCAAGGCGCUUGAGAGAACUCGGGUGAAGGAACUAGGCAAAAUGGUGCCGUAACUUCGGGAGAAGGCACGCUGGUGUGUAGGUGAAGCCCCCGCGGGUGGAGCUGAGACCAGUCGAAGAUACCAGCUGGCUGCAACUGUUUAUUAAAAACACAGCACUGUGCAAACACGAAAGUGGACGUAUACGGUGUGACGCCUGCCCGGUGCCGGAAGGUUAAUUGAUGGGGUUAUCCGUAAGGAGAAGCUCUUGAUCGAAGCCCCGGUAAACGGCGGCCGUAACUAUAACGGUCCUAAGGUAGCGAAAUUCCUUGUCGGGUAAGUUCCGACCUGCACGAAUGGCGUAAUGAUGGCCAGGCUGUCUCCACCCGAGACUCAGUGAAAUUGAACUCGCUGUGAAGAUGCAGUGUACCCGCGGCAAGACGGAAAGACCCCGUGAACCUUUACUAUAGCUUGACACUGAACAUUGAGCCUUGAUGUGUAGGAUAGGUGGGAGGCUUUGAAGCGUGGACGCCAGUCUGCGUGGAGCCAACCUUGAAAUACCACCCUUUAAUGUUUGAUGUUCUAACGUUGGCCCCUGACCGGGGUUGCGGACAGUGUCUGGUGGGUAGUUUGACUGGGGCGGUCUCCUCCCAAAGCGUAACGGAGGAGCACGAAGGUUAGCUAAUCCUGGUCGGACAUCAGGAGGUUAGUGCAAUGGCAUAAGCUAGCUUGACUGCGAGCGUGACGGCGCGAGCAGGUGCGAAAGCAGGUCAUAGUGAUCCGGUGGUUCUGAAUGGAAGGGCCAUCGCUCAACGGAUAAAAGGUACUCCGGGGAUAACAGGCUGAUACCGCCCAAGAGUUCAUAUCGACGGCGGUGUUUGGCACCUCGAUGUCGGCUCAUCACAUCCUGGGGCUGAAGUAGGUCCCAAGGGUAUGGCUGUUCGCCAUUUAAAGUGGUACGCGAGCUGGGUUUAGAACGUCGUGAGACAGUUCGGUCCCUAUCUGCCGUGGGCGCUGGAGAAUUGAGGGGGGCUGCUCCUAGUACGAGAGGACCGGAGUGGACGCAUCACUGGUGUUCGGGUUGUCAUGCCAAUGGCACUGCCCGGUAGCUAAAUGCGGAAGAGAUAAGUGCUGAAAGCAUCUAAGCACGAAACUUGCCCCGAGAUGAGUUCUCCCUGAGACUUUAAGUCUCCUGAAGGAACGUUAAAGACGAUGACGUUGAUAGGCCGGGUGUGUAAGCGCAGCGAUGCGUUGAGCUAACCGGUACUAAUGAACCGUGAGGCUUAACCUUACAACGCCGAAG